UAAGGCUGGAGAGGCGAGAUGCGCGGAUGCAUCAUGCAUCUUGUGCUGCACCGAUUCGACCAACACGAAACUAGCAAGGCAAAGCACAAUUGUGACGUUUAACAAGCCAAUGUCAGAACCUCGUCCAAAAAGGGUACCGCCAAUUAUGAGUGCUUCGUCACCAACUCACAUCACGGAUACGAUGAUAACCGACUAGAACUGGAGGCAACCGAAGAAGCGGGAACAUGAUGAUAAACGAUUGGACCCGAGGGAAACCGAACACCAUAAAAACAGAUCGACCAUGGACAGAGCAAAACGGACAGCAUGGCCAGUGACGCACACAAAUGCAACACUCGACAAUAAGGAUUCGCGGUUCGGACAGCAGCGGUGCGAUACUGGGACAGGAUUAAAUUUGUCAGAAGGCAAAGAUGUCCACAACAACGUGGUGCUCGCACAAGUCAAAUACUUCGAGAGAUCCGCACAAGUUACAAUAUAUUGUGUUGCAAAAUAGAGGAAGAUAAAGAAUCAGUGAGAUGUCUAAAAUACUUCUGUUCAGCUUUUUAUCGAUAAGCAGAACAUAAACUAAGCAUAAAACAGCCUUCGACAAAACUAAGCCAGCGCAAGACAGUGUUUUUGUUACAAUUGAUUUAUUGUUUUAGUCCUCCAAAUUUCAAAAAUGACAUCCGUGUGCAAAUAUACAGUGUGAGAUCAGUAUAAUGAUUGUUAAACCAUUCCAUACCGGGAUCAGUUACUAUAUUAUUAAAUCUGAAUAACCAUAAGUCUUUGCCUAUAUCCUGGAGUUAUACUAAAAUUAAGACGGAAUGAGUCUCACAGUCCGAUCCAAAAAGUUAGCAAUAUAGAAAAAACCGUUUGAAAAAUGUCCAACAAUGUUAUGUACAGCAAUAAUAGCGAACACCGGGAUGAAUACCAAUCAAACAACAGCUCUGAUACAUAAUAGAAAUGAAUUUGAGACAAUUCGAACAGAAGCAGAGAUAUUAAUAAUUUAACAAUAGGUUAAAAAUUGAAACAUUCAUAAUAGUUAAACAAGUGCUUUUGAUCCAGAUCAACGUUUAUUUGGAUUCAUUUUGUUCACCAUAAGGAUUUCCGAAGAAAACCGGAAAAAAAUUACACAAACGAUGUUCGACAACAAUUAACUGUGUGCAUUAUAACAAUACUAUGAUGUAAGAUUUAUCUAAUAUUUCAGGUAAUCCAUGAGGAUCUAUUCAGCGAGUAAAAAGAAGCAAAUAGACAUUGGGAUUGGAUUGUGAACACCAGUUUGAUCAUUUUUAUUCAUGUAACAAUUUUUUGAACUGCUGUCAUCUUAGCUUGUGUUAUUUGAAUUCCCUCACGUUCCUUGUUACAUGAUAGGAAUGUUGUUUCAUUCAUGAUUAUUAUCAUUGGCAUAAGAAACAUGUUGCAGAUUUUUUAACGAUUUUUUUUCUUUCCCUGACUUCUGGCUCAGACAGAGGAGCCCACUAAUCGUUAAGCUGAAGAGGUUAGAAAGAGUCCAACAUGUAUCAUUGUGUAGCAGACUUCUAGAAAUUCUAAUUUUCUGUCACUGAUAGG
rnacentral:lncRNA from 1 species